rnacentral:rRNA from 1 species
UACGGGGGGGGCCAGCGUUGUCCGGAAUCAUUGGGCGUAAAGCGCGUGUAGGCGGCCCGAUAAGUCCGCUGUGAAAGUCCAGGGCUCAACCCUGGAAUGCCGGUGGAUACUGUCGGGCUCGAGUCCGGAAGAGGCGAGUGGAAUUCCUGGUGUAGCGGUGAAAUGCGCAGAUAUCAGGAGGAACACCGAUGGCGAAGGCAGCUCGCUGGGACGGUACUGACGCUGAGACGCGAAAGCGUGGGGAGCAAACAGG